AGCAUGUACGCGAGUCAUUGGGUAUAGCGAAACCUAAAGGCGUAAUGAAAGUGAAAUUUCUCCUAGCGGGAAAUAAGGGAAGACGGGCCGGCUUCGUGCCGCUUUGCAUUCCCGGGGCGUCUCGUUCUCAUCGCGAGAAGAGGCGCACCAAGAGCGUACACGCUGGGACCCGAAAGAUGGUGAACUAUGCCUGGUCAGGACGAAGUCAGGGGAAACCCUGAUGGAGGUCCGUAGCGAUUCUGACGUGCAAAUCGAUCGUCGGAACUGGGUAUAGGGGCGAAAGACUAAUCGAACCAUCUAGUAGCUGGUUCCCUCCGAAGUUUCCCUCAGGAUAGCUGGAGCUCGUUGCGUACGAGUCUCAUCCGGUAAAGCGAAUGAUUAGAGGCAUUGGGGUCGAAACGAUCUCAACCUAUUCUCAAACUUUAAAUGGGUGAGAUCUCCGGCUUGCUCGAACAACAGACGUUGUGCGCGCCGUCGCCGCCUUAAACGGACGACGGACGUCGGCGUUCGUUGAAGCCGCGAGACACGGAUCAGAGUGCCAAGUGGGCCAUUUUUGGUAAGCAGAACUGGCGCUGUGGGAUGAACCAAACGUCGAGUUAAAGCGCCCAAAUCGACGCUCAUGGGAUACCAUGAAAGGCGUUGGUAACUUAAGACAGCAGGACGGUGGCCAUGGAAGUCGGAAUCCGCCAAGGAGUGUGUAACAACUCACCUGCCGAAGUUACUAGCCCUGAAAAUGGAUGGCGCUGAAGCGUCGUGCUUAUACUCGACCGUCAGCGGCACGUGCGAUCCGCGCGCGCGCGAUACCUCGGCAACGAGGGGGCGAGCGCGCGAUCACCAAGCCCUGACGAGUAGGAGGGUCGCGGCGGUGCGCGCA
rnacentral:rRNA from 1 species